GUCUACACUCGUUUAGUCGGCGUUUAGUCAAGUUGUUUUCACCAUACAAGUAACUAAAUUUAGCUACUUGAUUUGGUAACUUGCUUUAGUUAUUUAGUUUUGAUCCUGUCAAAAGAUAAAAAAGAAGAAGAGGGGACAUUGAUAAAAACAUAGUAGCUAGUAAACCUGAUAAUGAAAGUACUAAUAAAUAAAACUAUUAGUAAAUAAAUAUAUUUUUAAUAAAAGAAGCAAUUGAACAAUGAACAACGAAACAUGGUGUCAGAAGCGUAGUCGAAAAUCGCCGAGAGCUUAAAAAGAAUAAAAAAUAAAAGUUAGACAUAAGCCAUUUUCCCUCCAAUAAGUAUAAUAAAAAACGAGAAGUUAAAAAUGGGAUACUUCAAGUCCCCGGAAGCGUUUAACGUACAGGAGCCACAUGGAUGGUCCAAAUGGAAGCAAAUAUUUGAAAUAUUUUUGUUAGCUUCAGGAAAAAACACUAGUUGUAUAUCUAUAAUACAUUUGAAACAACCAAAACUUCAAAACUAGAUGAUGUGUUAUUUUGUUUUGAUGAUCAUUUCUUACCCAAAGAAAUGUAAGUAUGAAAACAAUUAAAUUUAACAGCAUACAGCAAAAAGAAGGUCAAAAUAUAGACUCGAGCAGCAAACUGUUUGUUUGUGUUUGUAUGUGAAAAGGGUCAGUGUAAAAGCAGCUAUGCAGAGAGGAUGAUAAAAGACAGAAUAGCACUGGGUGUUCUGGAUAAAUAGGUUCAAAGUCACUUAUCAAGAGAACCAUCAAUGUCAUUAGACAGGACACUUCAAUAUUGUAGAAGUAUUGAAGUUACAAUGAAACAUGUUGAGUUAUUAAAAAGUGGUACAGAAUAAACACAAGAAGCUGAUGCUCUUAAGUUUUUACGCAAAUGUGGAAGAUGUGUUUUCAGUCAUCAACCUAGACAAUGCCCCUCUUAUAAUCAAACUUGUGCAAUUUGUCAACGUAAAGGCCAUUUUACUAAGGUUUGUUUUUUCAAGGACAAACAGCACCAAAACAAGUGGUAAGAACGAGGUAAUUAUUCUAAUUCCAAAUAGCCAGAAAACGGGAGGCAGGAAGAAUAUUGGUCAAAUGAACAAGAUGAAGCUGAGGUUAAGAAACUAACAUCAGAAGUACAGGUUUUGGGCAAUGUAAACUCAGAAUUCAGACAUUAUAAGUAGGGACAAUGCAGGUAUUGAGAAUUCUAUUUUUAUUAAUGAGCAUAAGCCAAAUAUUAAAAAGAAUAGCUGGUAUGAACCUAUUAUUGUUAACAAUAUUGACAAUUGACAUUAUGUUUAAGCUUGAAACAGGAGCUGAAUCUAGCGUUGUACCUUUGAAAUAUUUUAAUGAUCUGAUAAAUAUAAAAUUAUUUCAACAUCCAUGACAAUAAUUUCCUAUUGAAAUUGAGUGUUUUUAUAAAAGUCACUUUAAAAAUGUUGAAUUUUUUAUAGUUGAUUUAGAGUCAGGGCCUUCACUGGAGUUAAGUGAUUGUUUACAUUUUAACAUGAUAUCUAGAGGGAGUAUAGUUCAAACCAAGAUGAUAAUAAUACUGCCAAAAACAAGAAAUGGAGUAAAUAAAAAUUUUAAAAACAUUUUUGAGGGCUUCGGAUGAAUUUCAGAUUAUGUGGAAAUUAGAUUAUACAAACACAAAGAAGGUAACAUUGGCCUCUAAUGAAAAACUAAAAUCAACGUUAGAUAAUUUUGAACAAAAAAGUAUAAUUUCUAAAGUUGAGUUUCCAACUGAUAUAACAAAUAUAUUUGUCGAGAGCAUUAUAUUAUUCCUAGGUGUGACGAAAUUUUAGCUAAGCUGGAAGGAAAAGCAAUUUAAUCUGUAAUUAAAUUUAAAAAAUAUUAGAAAUGAUCUUUAAAAUAUAUAAAAUUUAACUUUGAUAAGCUGCAAUAUAAAAUGCAACCUUCUAAAAAAAUGUACAAGCUGUUUCGGCGAUUGAAAAACUUUUAGACACAAGAUAUUUACCUAGUCCUAAGAUGUAUGUCGCAGAUGCAUUAAGUUGAUCUUAUAUUAAAUCAGAGACUCCCUUAGAUACAGAACUAGGAUACACUGUUCAUGCACUCUCUUUAACUGUACCGAUGUCUGCAGAAAAGGAAAUUGUUUUUCAAAAUGCUGUUAAUAAUGAUUGUUGAAUAACUCAUAGCCCAACACUGAUAAAAAGUUGACUUCUGAAUUGAAAUAUUCCUUAAACUUGAGACAUAACAAAUAUUUUUCUGACAAUUUGCUAUUUUAUAACAUAAAAAUUGUUGUUCCUUCUGAAACUUAGAAGUAGUAUGUUUAAAUUAAUACAUUUGACCAACUUUGGAAUGUAAAAAUGUAAGUUACAAUCACGUAAAAUUGUGAUAUGGCUCAAAAUGUCUAAAGAUAUUGAGAACUAUGUAAGAAAUUGUGAAACUUGUCAAUUCAAUAGGCCAGCUAACCUAAAAGAGACUCUUGUACCCCAUAAAACACCAGAAAGGGGGCGUCCAUGAAUUACGUGAGACAUUUUCUAGGAUUUUUCGACUCCCCACCCUCCUGAUGAGAUUUCGUAAGAUUUUUCUUUACUACCUACACCCCCCUCCCCCAUUCUCACGUGAGAUUUUUUAUAAUGUGUUUUUGGCUGUAAAAUUCAUUGGAUUUAAAAAAAAUACAAAAAAAAAACAAUUUGCUCUAUCACUUUUAUUAAAGACUAGUAUACAAUUGUGAUUUGAGAAUAUUGCCUUAGUUUAAAAUCACUGUGAUGAAAUUAAAUAAUAAAUACUUCAACGUAAAUUAAUAAGAGAUUAUUCUAAUUCAGUCCAUGGAGACUCGUGUACUCCCAAGAGUGACUACUAGAACCAACAUAUUCAAAUAAUUUUCAAUGAAAUCAUCUGCUCCUUCAACUUCGUUCUGAUUGAGCCACUCCAAACCUUUGUCGCUUGCACACAGUCGCUGGUCUUGAAACAAUACACGGUGGUCGCAAUUUAAGUGUUUGCACAUCUCGUGCAUGAUGAUGGAUGCGAAAUAGAUACCACAUGUAUUGAAGCAUCUCUUUUCUAUAUCGUGACGUAAACUUGGACAAUAGAGGUCAUCAUAAAGCAUGCUUGUGAGGGUGUGUAAUGGUUGAAUAGGUAGGCAAUGGCGAAUGAAGAAUGUUGCAAAUGUUUUUCCAUCAUGCUGUUCAGGAUCCGGAAUCGCCGGAUGUCCAUUAACUUGAAUGGGAUAUGGAGAUAAUAAAAAAAGAUCAUGUAAAGAACUCCGACGUGGAUUGCAGCACUGCUGAUCAUCGCAUUUUACAACCUAAAAUAAUAAUUAUUUUUGAUUAUUUAUAAAGAUGCAUUUGUCGGCAUGGAUGCUUGUUAAAAAAAUAUUUUAGAAAAAUGGUAAUUUUGUUUACCUGAAGUAAAUAUUGACUCUCUCUAAAAUGCUCGGUGUACCAUUCUUCAGCUGGAAAAUCUGGAACAUUAGAAAUGUCGUCGUUUGGGUCGAUGUAAUUAGCAAUAACUUUGUGUCUAUCAAUGCACAUUGCGGACCAUAUUUCUGCUUUUUUGAAGUUAUCUUUUUUUUAAAUCAUCAUUAAUUGUUUUACCGUGGAGUCAAGAUGUGUCUCAAAAGAGUCGUGGGGAAGAACAACACCUGAUAGUUCUCGGCUAAGUGGAGCCAUGCGUCUCUCUACUCUAUUAAAAGCACUUCUGCCGGGGGCAUUAGUCCCAAUGAAUAUUGCGUCAAAUAUCGCGGGUUCUCAUCGGGACCGCCAUCGUUCGAAAUAAUAAGGACAGGCUUGAUUUUAUCGUCUUCGUUUUUCAUUAAUUUACCAAAAGGCUGAAGAGUUAAGAGAGUGUCCAAGUCUUCAGCUUGACUAAUUGCAGUCGAAGACGAGUGCUUACCACUUCGGAUUGCUAUAUAUGUUGGUCCACUAUAUGAGACGGCUUCUGGCCGCCCCAUCUCAUUCGGUUUUACUUCACACAAAGCAUAGACACUCGGGAUCAAUUUAUGUCUUGCAGCAAUUAUAAAGUCGUGAUCUGGUAACGACACUUUAUACUCAACGUGCAUUAGCAAAGGCGCCUGUUUGUUUGCUGUUGUCAAUCCUAUGGGGACCCAUGCUUUGUCAUCUUGGGAUAAAAAAGAUAUAGAAUCAGGGUCAAGUAUUGAGGCUACAGUUUCUAGUGACCUUAUGGAAGCUACAGAAAAGUAUUGGUCUUGGUGCGCUUUAUGAUGGUCUGCUUCGGGACGACUCAACUUCACCGGUACAGUCACUACGUGGCGCUUAGCCUAGCGCGUAUCUGCCCGUCUAGGUAACAGUGGAAUGUAAGCGGCGCUUCGAGAAAUAUUAAAUCCCAGCUCGAUAAGUUUUUCAGUGAGCAGCUCUGAAAGACUAUGGACACUAGGAACAAUUUCACAGAGACUCCGUUCCUCAGCUGAUGCACUAAACAUAGCUAAAUCACUAAUAGUUUUCAGCAAUUCAGACUGCUCUUCCUCCAAGCGCGGACGUCUAGACCUUGCUCGAAGUAUCAACGAUUUUGCUGCUCCAGGAUUUUUAGAACACAAUUCGAUAAUUUUUAUUUUUUCUAUGCUUCAUCGAGUAUACUCUUUGGUUCUCCUUAGGUUUGAGCUGUUUUUCAAAAUUAUCAAUUUCUUGCCGAAACUUCUCAUCUCUCAUCGUCGCUGAAUUUUCCGUUUUGUAGCACCUGUAGGGGAAAGAAAAAAUAAAGAAAAUGUCGCACAUACAAAAAGAAGGUAAACACUAACCUGCCAGUUGAGGUUCAUUUCGUGUCACUGAUUCCUCAUGUUGAGUAAUCUGGAUGUUAAUUUCAGUUUGACUCGCGCAUUCUAAGUUUGACAUACCUUGAGUACUUGUGUUGAAACAUUAUCAGAGCUCCGAGUGUUUCCCUUGAAUAAAUAUAUCAUUAUAAAGACUCAAGAUUCACGAAUUAGAGACGUUUAGAACAAAAUUAUGCAUUUUUUUUAACUUUCCGCUAAGAAGAUCUAUAUUUUUAUCUCCUCAGCACAAUCUUGAAAUAUAUUGUACAUAAAAUUAAAUUUCUCCUAUUUCUUAUUUCUUAGACCUUUUGAUAUAUCAAUGCUUCUAAAUUUUCUUGAUUUUAGGUCUCUAAAAUAGCUAAAGGACCUAAAAUACCUAAAAUCAAGAACAUUUAGAUGAAUUAAAAUUAAAUUUAUACCAUAAAUAAAUAGAGGUAUCUAACCUACCUUAGAGAGAGAGAGAGAGACCUUUUUUUCCGCUGCUGAUCAAUCUCAUGCUGAAUAUGUUUCAUCAAAUCUUCUUUGGAUACUUUUGUUUUGCUGUGUUCCAUAACUUUACCACUUAUUCUUGACAGCAUUUCUUUGUCUUGUAGAUGUGUCUUUUAACGUAAGCAUUAUAAUAUUCUUGAAAACUCUUGUUUAAUCAUUAAAAUAGUAACAAAAAAGUUGUUAAAUAAAAUAUUGGCGGGCAUCAACAAAGCAGGUUAUAGGACCUGUACUUGCAUCGCUAUUACUCGGGUCUUUACGCUACGACAUUCAUCGAUCGCGCGUAUCGAUACGGCUGGUCGAAAGCACAUAAACAAUCGGGGAGCUAUUGUGCUACUCUGCGGAGUUCGGGGUAGUACGACAAACACCAUUGUGUAAAAUUUCGCAUAUAUUUUUAUUCUAGAAAAAUUUCUUACUUCAAUUUAACUUUACUUUCACACAAUUUUACAUGGUUCUCUAUUUGUUGAAACCCCCCUCUCCCCAAGUGAGAUCUGGAAAGAUUUAACUUGACCCCCUCCUCCUUUGAACACCUCAUGUAACUUAUGGACGCCACCAAAGACCGUGGCAAAUAUUAUUUUCCGACUUUUUUGAUUACCAGUCCAAAAGCUAUUUGUUAAUUGUUGACAGCUACUCUCAUUGGUUGAAAGUUUUUCCAACCCAAAAUAAAACAGCUUUUACUAUGAUCAAGCAUUGUAAGGUUUUGUUUUCUAAAUUUGGUGUUCCUGAUAUCUUCUAUGCUGAUAAUGUUCCCUAUAACAGUAUAGAAUUUAGAAAUUUUACUAAAUCAUGGAAUUUUUAUUUGGAGUUUUCUAUCCUUUUUUAUCACCAGUCAAAUAGUUUUGCAGAGAAGUAUGAAUGAAUAUCUCUAAAAACAUGCUUAAAAAAAUUUAUAAUGUUUUCGAUGCAUCGAUUUAUAUCGAAUAUCCCUAGUCCUGUCGAGAGAUAUAAAAAAGAAGAAGAUAGCACAGUAAAAAAAAAUAUGUUAGCAUGAAAACCUGAUAAUGAAAGUGCUAAUAAAUAAAACUACUAGUAAAUAAAUAUAGUUUUAAUAAAACAUAUAAAAAAAAAGAAAUUGAACAAUAAACAACGAAACAACAUGAAACAGUUGAUUGACUUGUAUGCAAAAUACAGGAAUGAAGUUUGUACUUUCAAAGUAAAAAUGGUUAAAAUUAUGAAGCUGAAGAAAGCCACAGAGUUUAAAAAUAUUAGCAUCCAAAUAACACCAACAUUAUGAAUUAGUGAAAGGUAGUAGGAAGAAGCUUCAGAACAUAUGCGGAUAACCAGAAUAAAACAGGUAAACCUUCCUAUAUUUAGUAUCCUCAUGAUGUGAGUAAAAUGAAGAUAGGUUAGUUGGUGUUUGCUAAUAAAAUUGAGAAUUAAAUGAAAAAUAGGCUAUCAAAGAGAAAAUUAAAAUAAUUUAUAAAUAAACAAUUAUAAUUGGAUAUUUAUUGUUCAAUAGUGACAAAAAAGUUGUUGUUAAUUGUGAUAGGGAUGCUAACUUGAAGGUGUAUUGUAAAUCAGUUUCUUUGUGAACCUUCAAAUAACUCCUAAUAAAUAAAAUGAAAAAUUGAGGAAUAAAAACAUUAUUUUCUGGAGUUGUAUUAGAUUAGCCCAUAUUGUAUUAUCAAUUUAAAUCUGUUUAUAUAACUGAUGGAAAACAAUCUACAUCCAAUUGAUAUAUGAAAUGAAAAAGGUUCUUUCAGCAGCUGUUUUCAGUAUGGCUGGGGAUUUGGAUACUAUUGCUGGUUUUUACACUUGUGUUCUACUGUCUGUUAAGGCAAUCAGGGAAGUGAGUGGCGUAGUGUAUGUAACCAAACUAGCACAUUUUUUAAUUGCAACAGUUGUGAUCAUUAAAACACCAUGAAUACCUUUUCAUAUUAUUAUAUUUUAAUAAUGUAAUCAAUUCUUUUCUGCUAGCUUAUAAUACCUCAAUAUUGCUUCUAGAAAACAUGUUUACAUUUUAUGAAAUAAUGUAAGUAGGUACUCAAAUUGCAAAAAUAAUGAACAUAUUAAUUAAGUGAAUCAUUGCCUUUAAACUGUUAAUGUAACAGUGUUAUAAAUGUUAUCUCUACUUCUUGUGAAAAUUGAUAGUUUGAUGAAUUUAAACCGAAGUAAACUUUAUAGUUCAAUAUAAUUAUCAACUUAUUUUCAACUAAUUUUAUAUAAUAUUUAAUGUCCACCAAAAUGGAUAAAUAGGUGAAAUAUAAAAAAACACAAAAGAGAAGGGCAAUAUAAAGGUGGCUAUUUAUUUAUUCAGUAUAGUGAAGAAAUAUGAGGGUAGUAUAAUGUAUUGUUGUAUUCACAAUUCACUAUAGUUACGUUGUACUCUAUAAUAUUAUUCUUUAGCUUGGUUAAUAAAUUAUAACAUACAUAUAUCACUUACAUUGUCAGUAAGGUGAUUGAUAGUAAUGGUAUAUAGAUCUCAUUAAGCUGAUGUUCUCUUUUCUGUUUUUGUUGAUUUAAAAUUACAUUUGAAAUCUUUCUCAGUAUUGAAUAUUUCUUGUAGAAAAUUGUGGAAUGAUUUAAUGAAUAUGAGAGAUUUUGCAAUUCCUUAAUAGAUAUGGUAUUAGCUUAAUUUAUCAAUUGUAUUUAUUUAGGCUUUCCUUAUUACAUGUUGUUGUAGCUGAUGUUUAUUGUGUGAAUCUAUUAGGUGACGUAAUAUUUACAAACGUAUGUGAUUGGAUUUUGAAAUGGUAUUUUAUCUCAGUAUUAUCAUAGAGUGGUUCUGAUAGUCAAUUUGAAAAUAUUAGUUAUAUACUUUUUCAUUGAAAAAAGUAGUGUCGAAAAAAUGCAGUAGAAUUUUUAAAAAAAGUGUAUUAUUCCAAAAGGAAACAGCAGAAUUUAAAAAAAUUUAUUAUUUCAAAAGGAAACAGCAGAAACAAGUGAUGCGUACUAUUUAUAGUAAUAAUUAAGUUCGGUGGGUGUACAAGAAGAGAAGUUGCCAAUUCGAGAAACUUAUGAGAAUGGGGACUUGGUUGGAAUGCAGUACAUUAUUAUGAAACCCUAGCAUUAUUGAUACAUGCAUGGCCACAAGAGAAAUAGGGGAAUUGUUGCAAGAACCCAAAAAAACCAUAUAAAUUGAUGAGUCCUGUUUAUUCACAAACGAUAUACAAUUGAGGACGCAUCACUAGGUGUUUGUGGGAAUUUGUCAAGAGGAUGGGAAAUGUUUUUGUUUGCCGUGCCUUUCAGGAGAAAAAAAGUGUGGCUUUAUAUUAUUGGCCAGUACUUAGAACCCGGAACUACUAUUAUGUCUGAUGUGUGGAAUUCCAAUACCAAAACUACAAAAGUAGAAGAUGAAUUUUAUACACUUCACUGUUAAUAAGGAAACUGGAGCACAUACAUAAAGAGCAAAGAUAAGAAAGAGAACAGGAAAAGGCCUCUAACUUCAACUGAAUGCAGUGAAUGCAGCAGUGGAAAUUAAAUUAUUACUAAAGAAAAAAAUUUUCUUGCUUUAUCACAAUACCCAGUUGAAGUAGUAACUUGACACAGAUUUGCCAACUAAGAUGUUAAAAUGCAAAUAGUAGAAAACAAGAUUAAUCGCAAUGAGUAUUUGCUCUUUGGAUGGAUCGAUAUGACUUGAUAAUCUUACUAAUCUCCUUUUAUUCAAUAUGUAGUAAGAAAGCUGCAAAUAAUUAUUUGUAUAGCUUCAGUACAAAUGGUAUUAUUUUGGUGUGAGCGACCCUUAACAUAUAGAGAUAUGAAAAAUAGAUGUUGGCCGAUUCUUGGACUUACACUAUAUUCACAUAAAAAAUCACGAAAAUCGAUCCAGUUAAUUUGGAGGAGUUUGGCAACAAAUACGACUACACGAGAAUUUUAUGUAUUAGAUUAUACAAUCUUUAUGAAUAUACCUUUAUUGGAUUCGAUGUCAUACUUUUAGAUACAUGGGUGAAUAUAUAUUGAGAAGUGCGCUCUGAGGUCGAGAGUUGGUUUCCUUCGAUUAAUUUCCUUCCAGACUCCAAAAUACAAGAACAAUGAAAAUGAAUUGACCGGCUGACUUAAGAAAUGGUUAAAAUGGACUGGAGAAGUCAUUAAAACGAUAGAUAGGAGCAAAAAAUGGAUUCACUAUGUAAAAAUCAAGUUCACUUCCUCCAAGACCUCCAUAUCACAAGGAAACCGAAAAAGAAUUGACCGGUUGGCUUAAGAAAUGGUUAAAAUGGAUUAGAGAAGUCCUUAUCACGAUAGAUGAGAGCAAAAAAUGGAUUCACUAUGUAAAUUUGUACCGUUUGAAGGUGUUUUGGAGAUUAGAUUAUUAUUUUUACUUUUGUUGGGAUUCCGCGUUUUCAGGCAUUCCAGAAUAGACUAUUGGAACAAUAAUAAUUUUUUUUUAAAUGUUUGAUAAAUUUUUAAACCGCCAAACUCUCCCAGGCAAGCAGCGGGUUGGCCAUCCCUAGCCAAAGAACACCUCUGAGAUGAAGAGGAGGCGCUCCAUUAUGUUAGAAACAAAGAAAUCUAAACAAAAUGAGUAUUUACAUAUUGUAGUCUAUGAGUUCUUAGCCUAACAUAGAAAAGAAUAAUUUAAUAAAAUAAAACCAAUAUUAUAUCAUUAUAAAACCAGUAUAAACAAAGUGACUCAUUUUAUUUUCUCAGCAUGUUGAUACCAACGCAACGGUUGUAAUAAAAACAUUUUCCUACUUUCCUCACAUCGAUGGUCAAUAUAUAUUUGCCUUUAUCUGGCAAUAGAAAAUAAUUGAAAAUUGUCAAAUAUUGUAGGGGAUAUCUCGUUUAAAAUAUACAAUUUUUUUAUAUUCUUUGGAACUACAUUUGGCAUUUGCUGGUCUGUCGACGAUAUAAUAUAACCAAAAUGCUGCUACUCUAUUUCACAGGUUAACAUAUUUACGUGUGUACCCUGUAUUUAACUAUUGUAUAUUGUAGAAAGUGAAGGUAAUAAAAUAUGUGAUUACCA